GUCAAUGGUACCACAUCUGGCAACCUCACUGUAUUGACACAAUUCCAGGAAGUCACUGCACCCGACUGUUGAUCGCCAAGAAAUUGCUACAGCCCGUACAUUAACAAAUGCCAGUGACAUUUCUGGAGGGAGAGGAUAAAGGGGAGGACAACAAGUAGAGGAUGGAGAAAGCAGUUUGAGGAGAUGGAAGAAGAGGAAACAGAGAGGAGGGAAGGAAGGGGAACAAUUAUAUUCUUCUGCUGCAGCAAAUGUUGAUGUUUUGACAUCCAGCCACUGCUGGAGGGAGACACCGCAGAAUGGAAAGGUUCCACAGCAAGGCUGAAGCCAGGGUCUCCACAGAAUCUUGUCCCACAUCAUUUGGCUUUCAACAGCGUGCGCAUCUGUGUUGGAGUGUGAAUGAGCAUCAUCCGGCUUGUUUGCGAGGGUAUUCCGGUGUCUCUCCGCAGCUUUGGCAGUCUGCUCGAGGAUUUCAGCGUAUCGCGGCUCAAUAUCAGGGGUAAGCGGGCGAGACUCUGACGGAUCGUGGAAAAGGUCAUACAGGAGAGGUGGGUUGUGGUGCGUCACAUGCUCUCCGUGACACAUACAGACCUUAGAGUCAUAGCAUCCACCAGCUCCCGGGGGAGAAAAGUUUGGAGUGAAAAAGUGCACCUUGAAGACAGAGUCACCUGGAUGGAAACACACACCAGGGAACAUGUGAACAUGCGCAUAUCAAGUAUAUUCUGAGGCAGGUUAAAGCUCAGUAAAAUCUCUUCAAAACUGUUGCAGAUUUUACUUCUAAUUUUUGAUUUUCAGUAUGACUGGUCCAACAGAAAUGGUUCUGAUUUAUAACUGGUCUAAUUUUAAAAGAACUGAUUUGUUAAGAAAUAGUAAGGUCAUCUAUCAUGACAAAGUUUUUAACCACACCAAGCUAUAAGAAGGCAAUGUUGACAUCCACAAUCGUAGUGGUACGUCUGUCAGACUAAAUCUGCUGGAAAUAAAGGCAUUUUUUGCAUUCAA